CUACAAAGGAAUUGACGGGACCCGCACAAGCGGUGGAUCAUGUGUUUAAUUCGAUGAUACGCGAAGAACCUUACCAGGUCUUGACAUCCCCUGACAACCCAGAGAUUGGGCGUUCCCCUUCGGGGGACAGGGUGACAGGUGGUGCAUGGUUGUCGUCAGCUCGUGUCGUGAGAUGUUGGGUUAAGUCCCGCAACGAGCGCAACCCUCGCCUCUAGUUGCCAGCAUUCGGUUGGGCACUCUAGAGGGACUGCCGGCGACAAGUCGGAGGAAGGUGGGGAUGACGUCAAAUCAUCAUGCCCCUUAUGACCUGGGCUACACACGUGCUACAAUGGGCGGUACAAAGGGCUGCGAACCCGCGAGGGGGAGCGAAUCCCAAAAAGCCGCUCUCAGUUCGGAUUGCAGGCUGCAACUCGCCUGCAUGAAGCCGGAAUCGCUAGUAAUCGCGGAUCAGCAUGCCGCGGUCGAAUACGUUCCCGGGCCUU
rnacentral:rRNA from 1 species